UACGUAGGCAGCGAGCGUUGUUCGGAGUUACUGGGCGUAAAGGGUGCGUAGGCGGUUGUUUAAGUUUGGUGUGAAAUCCCUCGGCUUAACCGAGGAACUGCCCUCCAAACUGCUUUGCUUGAGGCCGGGAGAGGCGAGUGGAAUUCCCAGUGUAGCGGUGAAAUGCGUAGAUAUUGGGAGGAACACCAGUGGCGAAGGCGGCUCGCUGGACCGGUUCUGACGCUGAGGCGCGAAAGCGUGGGGAGCAAACGGG
rnacentral:rRNA from 1 species